rnacentral:rRNA from 1 species
UACGUAGGGGGCAAGCGUUGUCCGGAAUCAUUGGGCGUAAAGAGCGUGUAGGCGGCUCGAUAAGUCUGCUGUGAAAGUCCAGGGCUCAACCCUGGAAGGCCGGUGGAAACUGUCGGGCUAGAGUCCGGAAGAGGCGAGUGGAAUUCCCGGUGUAGCGGUGAAAUGCGCAGAUAUCGGGAGGAACACCAAUGGCGAAGGCGGCGCUCUGGGCCGGUACUGACGCUGAGGAGCGAAAGCGUGGGGAGCAAACAGG